ncrna:unclassified sequences RAGATH-33 RNA
GCUAACGAUAGUUGAAUAGACGGGUCGGGGCUAACAUAGAAAGGUUAGCAGGUAGUACAGCGGUAGGUAACAAAUCCGCAAGUCGAAAUGAGUUGGGAAAUCCAAAUGAUACG